rnacentral:rRNA from 1 species
UCGAACUCGGAGAUAGCUGGUUCUCCUCGAAAUAGCUUUAGGGCUAGCCUCAGAAAGAAGUAUCGUGGGGGUAGAGCACUGAAUGGUCAAGGGGCGUUAUACGUUACCGAAACCUAUCAAACUCCGAAUACCAUAGAUACGUACCUGGGAGUCAGACUGCGUGAGAUAAGUUUCGUAGUCAAAAGGGAAACAGCCCAGAUCACCAACUAAGGUCCCAAAAUAUAGAUUAAGUGGAAAAGGAUGUAAAACUACACAGACAACCAGGAUGUUGGCUUAGAAGCAGCCACACAUUAAAAGAGUGCGUAAUAGCUCACUGGUCGAGUGGUUUUGCGCCGAAGAUGUCCGGGGCUAAAAUCUAUUACCGAAGUUGUGGGAUGUACAAAGUACAUCGGUAGAGGAGCAUUGUAUACGGGAAGAAGCACUACCGAAAGGAGUUGUGGACUGUAUAGAAGAGAGAAUGUUGGCAUGAGUAGCGAAAGGGGAGUGAGAAUCUCCCCCAUCGAAAGCCUAAGGAUUCCUGAGGAAGGCUCGUCCACUCAGGGUAAGUCGGGACCUAAGCCGAGGCCAAAAGGCGUAGGCGAUGGACAACUGGUUGAAAUUCCAGUACCACCUUUAAGCGUUAGAGAGAAGGGGUGACACAGAAGGGUAAGCUUGCGCACUGAUGGAAUAGUGCGUCUAAGUAAGUAGGGAGAUAACCGAGGCAAACCCCGGAUAUCAAUCCUGAGAUACGAAUGGGAGCGAAAACAAGUAGUGAAGUAGCUGAGCCCACGCUGUCAAGAAAAGCCUCUAUCGAGCAAGAAGGUGCCCGUACCGCAAACCGACACAGGUAGGCAAGGAGAGAAUCCAAAGAUGAGCGGAAGAACUAUUGUUAAGGAACUAGGCAAAAUGACCCCGUAACUUCGGGAGAAGGGGUGCCGGGAGGUGUGAAGAUUGAACAAUUGGAGCACAACCCGGCCACAGAAAACAGGCCCAAGCGACUGUUUAGCAAAAACACAGGUCUCUGCUAAAUCGAAAGAUGAAGUAUAGGGGCUGACACCUGCCCGGUGCUGGAAGGUUAAGGGGAGAAGUCAUCGAAAGAGAAGCUUUGAACUUAAGCCCCAGUAAACGGCGGCCGUAACUAUAACGGUCCUAAGGUAGCGAAAUUCCUUGUCGGGUAAGUUCCGACCCGCACGAAAGGUGUAACGAUUUGGGCACUGUCUCAACAAUAGAUCCGGUGAAAUUGUAGUACUCGUGAAGAUGCGAGUUACCCGCGGCAGGACGGAAAGACCCCAUGGAGCUUUACUGCAGGCUGACAUUGGAAUUCGGUAGCAAUUGUACAGAAUAGGUGGGAGACAAAGAAGCCAGUACGCCAGUAUUGGUGGAGUCAACGUUGGGAUACCACUCUAUUGUUACUGAAUUUCUAACAUGGUACCGUGAACCGGUACAUGGACACUGUCAGUUGGGCAGUUUGACUGGGGCGGUCGCCUCCGAAAGAGUAACGGAGGCGCUCAAAGGUUCCCUCAGCACGGUCGGAAAUCGUGCGAAGAGUGUAAAGGCAGAAGGGAGCUUGACUGCGAGAGAGACAUCUCGAGCAGGAACGAAAGUUGGACUUAGUGAUCCGGUGGCACCGAGUGGAAAGGCCAUCGCUUAACGGAUAAAAGCUACCCUGGGGAUAACAGGCUUAUCUCCCCCAAGAGUCCACAUCGACGGGGAGGUUUGGCACCUCGAUGUCGGCUCGUCUCAUCCUGGGGCUGAAGCAGGUCCCAAGGGUUGGGCUGUUCGCCCAUUAAAGAGGCACGCGAGCUGGGUUCAGAACGUCGUGAGACAGUUCGGUCCCUAUCCGCCGUGGGCGCAGGAAAUUUGAAGGGAGCUGUUCCUAGUACGAGAGGACCGGAAUGGACAGACCGCCGGUGAAUCAGUUGUCACGCCAGUGGCAUGGCUGAGUAGCUGAGUCUGGAAAAGAUAAGCGCUGAAAGCAUCUAAGCGCGAAACGUACCCUAAGAUAAGAUUUCCCAUCACAUAAGUGAGUAAGACCCCUGAUAUGUUAACAGGUUGAUAGGUCGCAUGUGUAAGUGCAGCAAUGCAUUCAGCUGAGCGAUACUAAUAGGUCGAGGUCUUGACC